GCAGGCGCGUAAAUUACCCAAUCCUGAUACGGGGAGGUAGUGACAAUAAAUAACAAUACGGGGCCCAUCGGGUCUUGUAAUUGGAAUGAGUACAAUUUAAAUCCCUUAACGAGGAUCAAUUGGAGGGCAAGUCUGGUGCCAGCAGCCGCGGUAAUUCCAGCUCCAAUAGCGUAUAUUAAAGUUGUUGCAGUUAAAAAGCUCGUAGUUGGAUUUCUGGUAGGAGUGACCGUGCCGAACUUGAUUGUUCGUGUAUUGAGUCGCCUCCAGCCAUCCUCGUGAAGAACUUUUCUAGCAUUAACUUGUUGGGAUUGGGACUCGCGUCGUUUACUGUGAAAAAAUUAGAGUGUUUAAAGCAGGCAAUCGCUUGAAUACAUUAGCAUGGAAUAAUAAGAUAGGACUUUGGUACUAUUUUGUUGGUUUGCAUACCAAAUUAAUGAUCAACAGGAACAGUUUGAGGAUAUUCGUAUGAACAUGUCAGAGGUGAAAUUCUUGGAUUUUGAUCAGACGAACUACUGCGAAAGCAUUUAUCAAGGAUGUUUUCAUUAAUCAAGAACGAAAGUUAGGGGAUCGAAGAUGAUUAGAUACCAUCGUAGUCUUAACCAUAAACUAUGCCGACUAGGGAUUGGCGGACGUUGUCUUUAUGACUCCGCCAGCACCUCAUGAGAAAUCAAAGUCUUUGGGUUCCGGGGGGGAGUAUGGUCGCAAGGCUGAAACUUAAAGGAAUUGACGGAAGGGCACCACCAGGAGUGGAGCCUGCGGCUU
rnacentral:rRNA from 1 species